ensembl:rRNA 5S_rRNA 5S ribosomal RNA
GCUUACGGCCAUACCACCCUGAGAUCGCCCGGUUUCGUCUGAUCUCGGAAACUAAGCAGGGUCGGGCCUGGUUAGUACUUGGAUGGGAGACCGCCUGGGAAUACCAGGUGCUGUAAGCU